CAGAGAUCUACCUACCUCUAUCUCCUGAGUGCUGGGAUUGAAGGCAUGCACCAAAAUGCACUUGGUUUUGCAGUACUGACCCCAGGGUCUCAUGUAUAGUAAGAAAGCAUGCAAGCAUGCAAUAUAUAUGUGUGUGUGUGUGCAUGUGUAUAUGUAUAUAUACACACAUGUAUGUAUGUAUGUAUGUAUGUAUGUAUAUUCCCAGCUCUCUUUUUAUUUUUAAUUCACUGUGUAGCACAGCCAUGCCUUGAAGUUUCCACUUCCCUGCCUCUGCCUCCUGGGUAGUUAGAAGCACUAGCCUAUGACCUCAGACAGGGCUCAAGUACACACAUCUUAAUUGUAGGGUUUAAUCAAAUUUUGUGCAUACAUAAACUAAUGUCAACACCACCAGACCAAAAUGUGGACCAUGCAGGGCUGGAGAGAUUGUACAGCAAUUGAAUGUGUUUGCUGCUCUUCCAGGACCGAGUUCAGUUCCCGGUAUCUCCAUUGGGUGGAUCCCAAUGACCUGAAACCCCAGCUCCAGAGACCCUGACUUUUAAUGGCCUCUGCACACGCACACCUUGACCUGUUAUAAUUUAAAAAUUUAAGAAAGACACGGAAUAUUCUAGAGACCAUUUAGAAGGUUCUUGGUUGCCUCACCAAAGUCAACAUUCCUGGGCCCUCAACCCUGACCUUGUUAACAUCGUCAGCUUGGCUUGUUUUCCAACAUUAUUGUAUGUCCUGCAUCUGUAUCUUCCCUUCAGUUUUGACUGCUCUCAGGGUUAAACCACGGCUUCCAAUUCUAAACCAUCAAUAACAGAAACCAGAGAUAACACCAUUAGUCCUGUCUACCAUCCCCACGUUUGUGCGAAUCCUUGUACAACAUCUGUGACUGCUCGUCACCAGACCCCUGCCUUCAAGUGGGGAGAGGCCCUCAGUCAUCUGUCUUCAGGCAAUGCCUGGUAAUCGAAUCUGGUAGUAACAAGCUCUGUUUACCCCACUUGCCACCCAUCAUCCUGACAGCCAACCAUCUUUCACUGCUCAGAGAGUGCAGCGGGGCAUGGAAGAUGUGCUUGGGCUCUUAGAGGGAGGAGGAGGAAUAAUGGGACUGGAAUGCCGGGGGCUCCCCCUGUGACAAAAUAGUUCAGGCUGUGGAGGCAAAGCACUUUUCAUCACUCAGGGUCCUGAGGAGCUAAGAUAGGGGUGGCCAAGGGCGAGGACAGAGGUGUGAGUGUCCUCUUUAGGAUGAGAGCAGUCACUCACUCUCCAUGGGGCACAACCAGAGGGUCCCCUCUGGUCCGGUUCCUUCUUUGGAAAUCUGGGCACAAGCUCUAUGCAGGAUGUGUUGGGGCUGUAAAACUCCUUGCUUGGGAUGGUACAAACAGAUUCCGAGCAAAUAGGAACUCAGGCCUGGGUGCUAGGAGAAGCAGGGUUUUCCUUUUCCCUUCCCUCUAGGGUACAGAGCCACCCACCUUUUUUGCUCCUGGCACUGCCCCAGCUUCACUUCCCAGAGUGUCUAUUUUUAGCUGUGCUUGGCACCCAUUUGCUACCAUGGCUGUUUAAAAUCCUACAGCUGUUGGCAUAGUAUGACACAGGACACUUCCAAAGGAUGUAAUGCUCCCAGCCGGAAGUGGCAAAUCCCAGGGCUCUCAAGCUCUCAUUCAAGUAUUUCCGGGUGACACAUGAACACAGCAAUCUUACAUCCAAAUAAAGCAGUGAGGCACGGGGUUCCCUAAGGCUAUCUGGGGGUACCGCUUCUCCGUCAGACAGCUGAAGAGGUGUCACUUGGAUGUGGAAACAGUACGAACAGUGUGGAGGUCUCAAAACUGGAUGUCAGCUCCUCCCAAAGCAGGCAACAGAGAUGAAAUGAGGACAGAUGUUACCUGGACUUCCUGGCUUUUACCAUCUUCAUACAGGAGAAGUUGGUAACCUUUUCCCCAGGCUCCUUGCCUGAGGAUUCACCGUCAUCUACUCUAACACAAGCAGAAAUCACUCUGGUUGGUUCUGAGGCGCUUCUGGGUGCUCAGGAAUGGCACGCUUGCUUUCUAUGGACCUGGAUUUGUGGUGUUUAUCUGUCCCACAUGGAGGAAACUCAGAGCCAGACCACCCCAUUUUAAUGUGGUGCCUUUCAGAUCAAGAGGUACGCAACCAAUGGUCCUGUAAAAUUCUUCAGCCAUUGGAGAAGACAUACAAAUGGAGUCGAACCUGCCAAGCCCAGCAUAUUUUUAAAAGUAAUCUUGUUCUUAUUAAAUUCAUAUUGACUCUUGAGGGGAGGGGGGAAAUCACAUUUUUUAUGAUUCAUCACUUCCUCAAGAUAAUAAAACAUGAUCCGAAGAUAUAAAAAA
rnacentral:sRNA from 1 species